UUUGUCUGUAAAUGAGCCCUGUGGUUGUUUGUUCUGGUGAAGAAGGUGUUUCUUUCCAUGGGUAUAAAUUCCAGAAGGGAAAGCCAAGUGAUCAGAAGGAAAUUGCCAUCGGUCUCAAUGGGAGAGUAGACUCUGGGGAAAGAGGGGACGUAGUUGGCUUCAGAACGUGGGUCGUUCUCUUCUGAGAAAAACUCAGAAAAAGAAAUGCCAGAAAUCAUCAAAGAAGAAGGAUUUGUACCUGCAAACAACAGCAUGUUCAAAUACACUUCAGAAGCAUAAGGAACUUUGCACUGAAGGAUGCAAUGCAAAGAGAAAAGGAAAGGAGUGCUCAGAACCAGGCUCCGUACAGAAGAGCCUCCUGGGACAUAAAGGGUCGUACACCAAAUGCUUUUUGUUCUGUUUUGUGUUUUUGGAAUAAUUGCUCAAAGCUAGAGAGGCUCUGAGUGCUGUUUUGCUAUGCCUGGAAAAACUGCAGUGUUUUUGGGCAGAGGUGUUUCCUGGCACGGUGCAAUGACUGCUCUGUAGAGCUUUCACAGCUGUUGGUUUUACAUCUCCCAGUUUUGCUUCGCUGACAUUUUUUCAUUUUUCUUUGCAUUAAAAAGUAGUCUGUUCCUGUAAAGAAGUGCCUGAGCAUUAUGUGUAAUGACAGGAGUAACAAUUUCCGAAGUGCUCAGAGGACUAAUGCCCAGGCGGUGUCAGCUUGCGUAUUGCUGUUAGAUGGUAUCAGUCUGAGGCUACAUGGUGUGCCUACUUUUAAUCUGACAUAAUCUAUGUCCCACAGUGAUUUAUAUGUAAAAAUUAAGUAAUAAUUAU
rnacentral:lncRNA from 1 species